rnacentral:rRNA from 1 species
UGUGACCUCAAAUCAGGUAGGACUACCCGCUGAACUUAAGCAUAUCAAUAAGCGGAGGAAAAGAAACUAACAAGGAUUCCCCUAGUAACUGCGAGUGAAGCGGGAAAAGCUCAAAUUUAAAAUCUGGCAGUCUUUGGCUGUCCGAGUUGUAAUCUAGAGAAGUGUUAUCCGCGCUGGACCGUGUACAAGUCUCCUGGAAUGGAGCGUCAUAGAGGGUGAGAAUCCCGUCUUUGACACGGACUACCAGGGCUUUGUGAUGCGCUCUCAAAGAGUCGAGUUGUUUGGGAAUGCAGCUCAAAAUGGGUGGUAAAUUCCAUCUAAAGCUAAAUAUUGGCGAGAGACCGAUAGCGAACAAGUACCGUGAGGGAAAGAUGAAAAGAACUUUGGAAAGAGAGUUAAACAGUACGUGAAAUUGCUGAAAGGGAAACGCUUGAAGUCAGUCGCGUUGUCCAGGGAUCAACCUUGCUUUUGCUUGGUGCACUUUCUGGUUGACGGGUCAGCAUCAAUUUUGACCAUUGGAAAAAGAUUAAGGGAAUGUGGCAUCUUUGGAUGUGUUAUAGCCCUUGGUUGCAUACGAUGGUUGGGAUUGAGGAACUCAGCACGCCGCAAGGCCGGGUUUUUAACCACGUACGUGCUUAGGAUGCUGGCAUAAUGGCUUUAAUCGACCCGUCUUGAAACACGGACCAAGGAGUCUAACAUGCCUGCGAGUGUUUGGGUGGAAAACCCGAGCGCGUAAUGAAAGUGAAAGUUGAGAUCCCUGUCGUGGGGAGCAUCGACGCCCGGACCAGACCUUUUGUGACGGUUCCGCGGUAGAGCAUGUAUGUUGGGACCCGAAAGAUGGUGAACUAUGCCUGAAUAGGGUGAAGCCAGAGGAAACUCUGGUGGAGGCUCGUAGCGAUUCUGACGUGCAAAUCGAUCGUCAAAUUUGGGUAUAGGGGCGAA